UGCUUCCCACGGAGGAGAGGAGAAGGCAAGGGCUGCAGGCUUUCCUCAAGUGAGGAUCACUUGAGGGAAAUCACUGCCCUGGAAAGAAGGCCUUGCGGCUGCGCUUCAAGAAACACCAGAUGCCUCCGGUCCUCAGAGCCCCUGGUGCCGCGGGGAGGGGAGAGCCAGAGAGGCCCGGCCAGACUGCAUCGGCUUAGUCCUGAGACCCAGUUCCAGCGCCCGGAAGCCCUAGGGCCCCCCCACCCCGGGGAACCUGCGGCCAGUUCUCAGGCCCGGAUUUAGGUCACUUCUCUAUGUUGAACUCCUGCGGGUCUUUCUGCUCCUGCUGUCUUGUCCCUGACUUCUUCCACUCCAGAUGGGAACCUUAUCCUCUCUCUGUGACCGAUGCCAUCUGCCUCAGUUUA